rnacentral:rRNA from 1 species
AUGGCGGCGCACGAGCAGGAGAACCAGCAGGGUGAUGAUGCCUCGGCACAGAGGUCGCCGUUGCCACACAAAGUCGUCACGGAAAUCCUUGCCUACCUGCCGGCCAAGUCCGCGGGGCGCUUCCGCUGCGUCUCACGUUCGUGGCAGGCCACGCUCUCGUCGGCGCGCUUCCUCGAGCUCCACCUCCGGCGGGCAAACUACCAGGCAGCCGCCGGCCGGCCGAAGCUCUUCUUCAGUCCCACGGACGAGCCCUCGGACGACUACUUCUUUUACGCCUGGCAGCCCGGCGGCGCGGCGACGAAGCUGAUGCGUAACGGCUUGCUGCUCCCCGCUCCCCUCACCAAGCCCCUCCAUGGCCUCGUCCUCCUCCGCUGCGUCCGGAGUGGCGGCUACUACGUCUGCAACCCAUCCACCGGCGCGGUGCUUCCUCUCCCCGACAGCCGAGUGCCGUCCAAGAAGACUUCCCGGUAUCCACUCCCGUACUACAUGGAUGUCGUUUACGGCCUUGGUUACUGCUCGGCCACCCACCGGUACAAGGCAGUCCGUAUCUUCAGCAAAGAAGAGGUUAAUUCCGUCGAUGCACCGUGCUGCGACGUCUUCGUUCUCGGCGGUGACACGCCGGCGUACUGGCGGCCUGCCACGUCCAAGCCUCCGAUGUGCGUUGUGACGGAGGCGAACCCGGCCGUGUUCUUGAAUGGCCACCUGCACUUCCUCUGCCGCUACGAUGGUGGCAUCCUCACUUUCAACGUCAGGGACGAGACCUUUGGUUCCUUGCCACUGCCGCCAUGCCCUCUGGGGAAAGAUCCUCUCAGUCUCAGGACGACGGAGCUCGACGGGUGCCUAUGCGUCUUCAGCGGCGGCGACCCGUGCCAUGUAUGGCUGCUGCGUGAUUACGAGGCACAAGGGUGGGAGCAGCUCUGUUGCAUCGACCGGGCGGCUUGGCCGGAGCCACAGCGGUCGCAGCUGCAGUCGAGGUGGAUAGCUCCUCUUUGUCUGUCUAAUGGUGCCAAUGGAUCAUCGUCGGAGAAGAAAAUCAUGUUCGGCACGGGCACUUGCAAGGUGUUCGCGGUAGACCUUAAUGGUGGAGGCGUACCAGAGAUUCUUUUCCAGCCAGAUGAGGCCAUCGCCGGCAGUUUCCAUGACACGUAUGGUUACCCGGCGCUUGGCCUGUUCGAGGAGAGUCUUGUGCCCGUGGGCCGCGACAUUGAGGAGAUGGUCUCCUCUUCACCGGUGAUGGAAGCUUGGUUCCACGUCCUCAAGUGGUUGCCGGCACGGUCCGUCUCGAGACUCAGCCUCGUGAGCAGGGCAUGGCGCGCCAUGAUCACCACCAACUCUUUCAUCCGGUCGCACGCCGCCGUCCACGCAACACGCCCGCGGAUCAAGUUUGUCCUCGACCCCUUGGUGGGUUCAUUCAGUGACCUGGAUGAGCACAUGAACGGCACCUUCUUAUAUGGCCUACCAUUGGAUAAUCCCGUCCAAUGUUCUCAGCCAUGCCAUGGCCUAAACUUGGGGAGGUGGAGCUUUGGUGACUACCUAUACAACCCUACCUUGGGCGUUAGUGAGAGAAUACAACAAGUCAAGAGAGACGCAGUCUUGUUGGGCAGCUCAAUCGCGUUGGGGUACGACUCCGAGGUGGAGGACCAUGUCAUAGUAUCUCUUGCAUACGAGGAGAAGAACAUGGCAACACGAGAGUACAAACUGAGGUGUGACACGCGUUGGCUACGGACAGACGAUGACUGGUGUCCGCAUGAUCCUCCGCCAAGGCCGGUGGCCCUUGACGUGCCGCCAGCCUACGUGAAUGGCAAGAUUUAUUGGGUGGUUGAACCUAUGCUUGGGCCGGAAUCUGCGGUGUGCGAGCUCUUGGCAUUCGACGUCAUAAACGAAGAGUUCAAGGUCAUGCAUGGUCCUUCAUGGAGCAGCCAUGGCGGCGGCCGUACGUCCAUCCUCGAGCUCUACGGUGCUAUCUCCAUGGCAUGGUUCGACGAGGAAAAGAAUGUCAUUGACGUAUGGAGGACCAAGGACAUAAUGGACGGGGCUUGGUGCGUGGGGUGUCGUAUCGAACUCGAUAAGUUCUCACCGCAAUACUCAUCGAGGGAAGUCAUGUUGAUGUGUGCUGACACAAUUGAUGGACGGAUUUUGCUCAACACGGGGAGGUCAUUGGGCUACUAUGAUCCCAAGACGGCGGCGCUUGAAACCAUCUACACUGUUGGUAAGCCACAAGGUUACAGGGGGUUCUCUGCCACAACUGUCCAAGACAGUCUAGUUCGCCCUUUUAUGAAGUGGUGGUGGUGA